rnacentral:rRNA from 1 species
UGAGUAACACGUGGGGAAUCUACCUUUUAGUGGGGAAUAACGCUCCGAAAGGAGUGGUAAUACCGCAUGAGACCUUCGGCUGGGAUGCUGGAGGUGAAACCUGGGGACCGCAAGGCCUGGGGCUAGAAGAGGAUCCUGCGUCUGAUUAGCUAGUUGGCGGGGUAAUGGCCCACCAAGGCGACGAUCAGUAGCCGGCCUGAGAGGGUGAUCGGCCACACUGGAACUGAGACACGGUCCAGACUCCUACGGGAGGCAGCAGUGGGGAAUUUUGCGCAAUGGACGAGAGUCUGACGCAGCAACGCCGCGUGGGUGAUGAAGGUCUUCGGACUGUAAAACCCUGUC